GACGAACGCUGGCGGCGUGCUUAACACAUGCAAGUCGAACGCUGACGACCUGGCUUUUGUUGGGUUGGGUGAGUGGCGGACGGGUGAGUAACACGUGAGUAACCUGCCCUCUUCUUUGGGAUAACGCCCGGAAACGGGUGCUAAUACUGGAUAUUCACUCGCCUUCGCAUGGGGGUUGGUGGAACGGUUUGUUCUGGUGUGGGAUGGGCUCGCGGCCUAUCAGCUGGUUGGUGGGGUGAUGGCCUACCAAGGCUUUGACGGGUAGCCGGCCGGGGGGGGGGACCCGGCACCUUGGACACGGGAUAGGGCCCUAACGCAGGCGGGAGGGGGCAGUGGGGAACAAUGCGCGAUGGGCGAAUGCCGGAUGCAGGGGCGCGGCGUGAGGGCUGUCGGCUUGUGGGUUGCAAAUCUCGUGCGAGAAUGGCCACGCCGCAACUGCGGGUUGUGGUGACGGUAGUGGGUAAAGAAGCGCCGGCUAACUACGUG
rnacentral:rRNA from 1 species